rnacentral:lncRNA from 1 species
UCUUAGUAGUGGCAAGGUGAAUAACAGUAGCAAGCAUAUUUUGCCCAGUAAUAUUUGUGACCCCAUGGUUUAUACUUCUUACACAUACCAUAUUUAGCUCCAUAGUAGUGCUUGCAAUGAUAACUACAUUUGUAAGAGUAGUAGCAAAGUCCAUUCCACUUGUCACUCUUUUUCCAACAGUAUUUUCCUUCUGCCAUUUGUAUUUCUGCAAAAAUGAGAAAAUUGAAAAAUCAUGGUAUGUACUUGAGAUAGCAAAUUUACUAUAAUUUCUAAACAAAUUUUAUUUCCUAUAAAACAGCAACAAAUAUUUUAAAAAUUCGUAAUUUUAAAAAAAUUAUUAUAUAUGGUAGCUAUAUAAUCAUGUUUGACUGGCCACAAAAUUUAAUAAGAAAAAUGUAUUUUGAAAAUUUAUAAUGUCCAAACAAAUCAUUAUAUUUGGUAUCUAUAGUAUCAUGUUGACUCACCAGUUGCAGCAACAAGGAAGAGGCAAAAGAGAAGGGCUAAAAAAGUAGUGUACUUUGCCAUAGCUCUUAUUUUAAUUUCUGUUGAUUUUUUGGUAAUGAAAACAAACAAUUGAAAUAGUUGUAUUUAUAGUGUGGGGAAACUCAUAUUGUCAACUAAAUUCCAUUUGAUUUGUUCAAGGAUUACGUUGGAUGUUUGCUUAAUUAAUUAUAAGAUGGAUAAUUAAAAGGACACAUCAAGCACAUAGAAUUAGUCUAACACAUGAAUUAGCAUUUAUUUAAUUGAAAGGAAUUUUGAAUUGAUCAAAGACCCAUUAUUUAGUGAUAAUUAAAGUCUUCUACUAAUUGAUCAAUUCUAUAUCUCCACAAAUUGCUUUUAUGAGUUCACCAUUUGUUUGUAUAAAUACAUGGAGCUUUUGUGAUAUCAAACACCAAGUAAAGUUCGAACGUUUGAAUCCAAAUAUACAUUCUUUGAAUCUAAACACUGAAUUAUUGAGGCUGUUUAUUUUUAAUAUCUGAAAUUAAACGCUAAAUCAAUAAAAUAUUAUAAAAAUCUCAUUUUAGUAAAAUAAUUUUUUUAUGUAGAAAAUAAUAUUUCAAACAUUUUUAUCACAAGGUAAUAUGAUUUAUCCAUUAUGAAUUUAACAUUAAGUUACAUCAUUAUUAUGAUUAUUAUUUCCACUCAAAAACUUUUAGAAUCUAAUAUAAUGCUAUGUAAAUGAGUUUAUAUAGAGUAGUAAUAUAAUGUUUAUGAAACGUUUUAUUUUAUAAUAGACAUUUGUUAUUAAUCGUUAUCGAUCAAAUAGUUAGAACUUUCAUAUUUUUUGGAACCGUGUUAAAUAUUACAUCAUGGAGUGCUUAUCAAUUCAAAUAUAUUGAUUAAUUUAUGAAGAAGUAAAAGGGAUAUAUUAAGUUAAUAAGAAUAAAGGAAAUUGUAACGGUAAACAUCUAAUUAACAUUAAUUAAAUAAGAAAACAACUUAUAUGAGUUGUUGUGAUGUAGUUGAAUUAAGCUAUGAGUAAUGGUGUUAAGACUGUGUUGCGGAUCAGAUUCAUUCAAAUAUAUUCAGACCCAUUAAGAGACUUAUAAAGAAAUAAAACAAACAAACUUAACGAACUGAAUCUGAAUAAUUAAGAUUCAGUUCUCAUAAACAAACAUACUUAAUGAUGCGAAUCUGAAUGAUUAAAAUUCAGCUCCUCAAUAGAAAUAAAUUCAAUUGAAAUAAUUAAAAAAAAUACUACUACUAGAUUUCUAAUGUCGAUUCUAAUGAAUAAUUCGUCAAUGACGAAUAAAAAACAAGUGCAAGCAAAUGAGGCUCAAUGGAUUUAGGAAUGAAAUAUAUUGUCCCUUAGGAAUGGAAGAACAUUUUCCUUAUAGAUUUGGUGAUGUUUGCCUUUGCUUGGAGGAUUAAACUUAGUCGAAAAUCAUUACAUAAUCACGUUAUAUUCUCUUUAUUUGUGACUGUGUUCUAGUUAAUCCAUCAUAUUUUCUCAACAAUUAAUUGAUAUCAUAUCCAUGUUAGAAUUUUAGCACAAAAUGAAGGGUUAAUUAAGAUUUCAUCAUCAUCUUCAUUAAAGUAUGAGAUAUAGAAAUUUGAUGGAGGAUGUAGUUUCAAUAUGUGGAAGAUUAGAAGGAGAUUAUUUUUUGUGUUAACUACAAGGGGAUAUGAAAGGCAACUAAGGUACUAAUAAUUAAUAAUUUAGAUGACAAUGACUGUAGAAAAAGUUAAAGAUGUGAAUUUUGUAAUGAACUCAUAUUGUAUUGAAAUGGAUAAUUGGAAUUACACGUAGAGUUUGUAAUUCCAAUUGCUCCAAAUAGUAGCAAUGAAAAGGGAGAAUGGAGGGAGGUUCCACAUUAAUCUAAGUAACAAAGAAAUAAGAGACAAAUUCAUAGCAUAAACCCUAAUUGACUAGUUCCCUCUUCUACCCAAAUGUAAUGUGACAUCUUAUCACAUGGGUCCUCCAUUGUAGUUAUAUUCGAAACAAAUUCUGAUGAAUUGUUUACAUGUGUCCACACAAGAAUCGAUUUGCAAGAUACAAACAGACAAGUAAGAUUGUUAAUCGAUGUGAUUAUAAUUUAUUAGAGGUAAAGGGCGUUGUUAAUAUCAAAUUCAGAAUGUUUGCUAGAUUUAUCUAAGAUUUGACAUGUUCCUUAAAUGAAGAGGAAUUAAUUUGUUUUCUCUUUCGACAUCGGAUGAUCAAUAAUAUAAUUUUUAUUCUAGACUAUAUUAUCUAGUUGAAGCUCGAAAACAUUAUACACCUUUUCUUUCUUUUUUUUCAUUGUAGAAAACUCUCUUUGCUUUUGCUCGAAGAAUUAGGCCUAGCAAAACCUCGCUAAAUUCUUGUGUUAAUUUUAUUAUUUAUUUUCUUUGCUUGCGAUUGUGUCCUAGUUAAUCCAACAUAUUUCUACAAACAUCUAACAUAAGUCUCAAUAGCAUCAAUGUUGUGUUUUAUAUGGAAGUGUUGAUGGUCAAAUUUAAAUCUUCUACACUUUAUUGUCCAAAACCAAACCAAGUUUCAUUAGGGAUUCCAAUUCCACACACGUUUUUCACAGACAUAAGUGAGCUAUAGGUCAAUUUUGAGAAUAAUUGGAUACAACACAAUACAUUUAUUCAUCAAGCAAAGCUUGGGCAAAAUAGUUGCACACAUAAAUCAUCCUUACUACAUUGUUACACACAUAAAAUAGGUUUCUUAAUUAUUUGUUUACAUAAUAAAAACCAAGCCAUGAGAUACUGAAAUAUUCUUAGUAGUGGCAAGGUGAGUAACAGUAGCAAGCAUAUUUUGCCCAGUAAUAUUUGUGACCCCAUGGUUUGUACUUCUUACAAAUACCAUAUUUAGCUCCAUAGUAGUACUUGCAAUGAUGACUGCAUUUGUAAGAGUAUUGACAAGGCCCAUUCCACUUGCCACUUUUUUUCCAACAAUAUUUCCCUUCUGCCAUUUGUAUUUCUGCAAUAAUGAAAAAUAUUGAAAAAUAAUGGUAUGUACUUGUCAUAGUAAAUUUCACUUAUAGAACAUGUUUGACUAGUCAUAAAGUUUAUUAAAAAUGAAUAUUUAAAAAUUCGUAAACUUAAACAAAUCAUUAUAUUUGAUAGAUAUUGAAUCAUGUCGACUCACCAGUUGCAGCAACAAGGAAGAGGCAAAGGAGGAGAGCGAGAAAAGUAGUGUACUUUGUCAUAACUCUUAUUUUCUGUUGAUUUCUUGGUGAGGAAAUACAUAAUUGAAAUUGUGGUAUUUAUAGUGUUGGAAACUCAUAUUGUCAACCUAAUUCCAUUUGAUUUGUUCAAAGAUUACGUUGGAUGUUUGCUUAAUCAAUUAUAAGAUGGAUAAUUAAAAGGACACAUCAAGUACAAAAGAAUUAGUCCAGCACAAUUAGCAUUUGUUUAAUUGAAAUGAAUUUGAAUUGAUCAAAGAGGUAUUUGAGUUAUAAUUAAAGUCUUCUACUAAUUGAUCAAUUCCUUAACCACACAAUUAAUUUUUUCACAAGAAGUUUUGGGGCGUGCAUAAAUAGAUGCUUAAAUUUGUAUGAAAUAAACAAGUAGACACACACGUCCCGCAUGCCAUAAUACACAUACAUAGGACACAAAAUGGUCAUUUAGGAUUUCACAUAGGAUGAAUGCGUCUAUUUCUUAAUUUUAUAUAAUUUUAAGUAGGGAAAAGGGUCUGAUAUACCCCUCAACUUUGUCAUUUAGAGCUGAUAUAUCCUCGUUAUAAAAGUGGCUCAUAUAUGCCCUUACCGUUAUACAAACGGCUCACAUAUACCUCUGCCGUUACAAAAUGGCUCACAUAUACCCUUCAUUUAACGGAAGUUAAAAAAUUAGUUUUAAAUUUAUAUUUGUUACUUCUAAUUUUUUUUUAAAAAAAUAUUUAGGGGUAUAUAUGAUUCUUCUAUCAAAGUUCAAGGUAUAGUGAAAAUCCUGUGAGACAAGUCGUGAUUUUACUCCCUUGAGCAAGGAGGUUUCCACGUAAAACUCCUCUGUUGUUAAACUACAUUUACUUUUUGUUAUAUCCAUAUUUGUGUGUCAAGGGACCUGGUCCAUUGACUGAUAGUGGACGCAGACAUUCUAACAAAGUGUUUUCUUUUUCUUUUUGAAAGUGCUUACUUCUCUUUUAAAAGAAAAAAAAGGUGAAUUAUUUGACCAAUAUUUUGAGGUUUUUUUGUGUAUUGUAAUUUAAUUUCGUAUUCGAUGAUAAAAUUUGGUCAUUUACAAUAAGUUUUACAAGAAUAUUAGUGAAACAUAAAUAAAUAUGAUUAUCAAAAUAAUAAUUAUAAAUUGGUCAUUGAAACAAAAAAAAGUCAGAAAAAAUAUGUUUGACGAGGAUUAAAUUUACUCAUAUGGGAUUAUAUUUUUUAUUAAAAAAAUAAUAAAAAUUUAGAUUAAAAUUAUUAUUUUUUCAUUUCCGUUAGAGGAAAAGGAUAUAUGUGAGUCAUUUGUUUACAAGUAGGGGUAUAUAUAAGCCACUUUUAUAACGAGAGGAUAUCAGCUCUAAAUGGCAAAGUUGAGGGGUAUGUCAGACCCUUUUCCCUUUUAAGUAUCUACUUGUGCAACUCAAAGUUGGAAGUGUUGCCAAUAUGUGUUUGGAGAACAGAAUUACUGAUUCCAAUAAAACUUUGCAGAAAUACGAAGUUACCAAAGUUUAAGAAAUCAGUAAGAAAGAUGAACAUAAAUUAAUUCACAAAAAACUAAAAUCUGUAAACGUACUAGAAUCUAAAAAAUUAGAAAAGGAAAAGAUCAAGCCCACUGAAUGCAAAGUGUCCCCUUAAGGAAAUUAUUCCCCUCUAGUAUCCGACGCUUGAUUUUGAAUAUGUCCUCCCACGAUAGAAUGAUCUUCAUCACCAACGUAUUGAUAUCCAAAACUCUGGUGUCAAUAAACCACUCAACAACAGUAAAGUACACGAAGAAACUUUUAUGCAGAAGAAGAAGAAGAAAUCAAAAAUUCGUAAGGAAAAAUUCUGAAGAAUGACUUGAUAUUUAGGCAAGAGGAACAGGUUCCAAAAGGUUGCAAUCCUUUCAGAAUCCACAUGACCAUUAAUGAAAGUUUGCAACCUUUGAAACGGUUCUGGUUGUUUCUCAAAGUUGCAACAUUUCAAAAAAGUCAUUUUCAAAUGGUAAUAAAUUUAAAUAAAAAUGAAUUUAUUUUAAAUAAAAUGGGUCACAAGGAUGCGAGUCAGCUCAGGUUAAUCAACUAAAAAGUUGAAACGUUUCAGUUAAUCUCAACUAAACAAUUGAAAAUGUUUCUGCUAUCAACUAAUUAAUUGAAAAUUCAACGUUUUGAUCAUUCAAUUUAAUUAAUUAAUUAAUUAAGUAAAUAAUUAACUAAAUAAUUAAAACAAACUUUGUCCAAAAAAUAAUCUUGAUCAUUUUUCAAGGCCGAAGUCGAAGACGAAGCCGAGCUGAGUGAGCGACGAUGACGGCGUGAAGGGUCCCUCUUUCCAACACUUUUAAAAAUUAAAAGGACUGUCUCGAUAUUUAAACUCUCAUAUUUUUCUUUCCACCACUGAUGAAGGACAAAUGUCUUUUCACUAAAGCAUAAGAGGAUUUUUCAAGUUCCCAACUUUUCAAGUUCAUCUCUUUUCAUCUUCCCUCCAUUUCUCAUUAAUUCUUGUUACAUACCCAACAAUCCCCACAUAAAUGGGGAAUGGUUAUAACAUAGGAAUGUGCAGACAAAUGUGUACUUUACAUGUAAGGAUUAAUUGUAUGUGGAUAAGUAGGUGUUCCUUUGGACUUUUCGUAGUGAACAUAUGUCGGAUAUACUCGGUUAAUCGGUAGAUGCAAUAUCUUUGAACCGUCGAGCUUUGAUGUAUACCUAUACAACCAUAUGUUACACAAUUAACCCUUUACCAUUUAUGGUUCUUACGGUUGUGUUCGUUUCAACCAUGAACACCUCCUGGUUUCAUGAGUGUAUGAAUAGACUGUUAACAAUAAUUCUCUUUGAAGCGGCUAACACUUCACAUUGACAUAGGUGAUUUUGAUCGUAUUAUCGCGUAGAUACACUAUAUUGUUAAAUCUGUCAAACUCAGCAAAUUAUUAAAACCAUUAAGCUUUAUUAACUCAUUAAAAAGCCUUAAUGUUGUGUCCUUGUUCCUGAGCAUUGUCUUCAUCAUGAGACUGGAUUGAGUUGGUUGACAAUGCUGAACCGUCAGUCACAACUUUAUUUUUCUCUUUGAACCUAGUUCUUGGGAUCUCCAUUCUGCUAGGUAGACUUAUCGUCAUGAUGACAUGUCCUAAGCUGUAAACUCAUUCCCUACGAUGAUCUUUUAACUUUCUCUCUAGUUAGGCCUUUUUGUAAGUGGAUCCGACACAUUAUCCUUUGAAUUUACAUAGUCAAUUGUGAUAUUCCACUAGAGAGUUAUUUUCUUUUAAGGAAAAACAAAAAAAUAGCAAUUCACCCCUCUCUUCCACUUUCAUUAACCUUAUAUGGAAGUGUUGAUGGUCAAUAGUGUCUAACAUAAGUCUCAAUAGCAUUAACGUUGUGCUUUAUAUGGAAGUGUUGAUGGUCAAAUUUAAUUCUACACUUUAUUGUCCUAAACGAAACCAAGUUUCAUUAGGGAUUCAAAUUCUACAUACAAUUUUCACGGACAUACGUGAGCUAUAGGUCAAAUUUGAGAAAAAUUGAAUACAAUACAAUACAUUUAUUCAUCACGCAAAGCUUGGGUAAACUAGUUGCACACAUAAAUCAUCCUUAUUACAUUGUCACAUACAUAAAAUAGGUAGCAUCAUAAUUAUUUGUUUACAUAGUCAAAGCCAAGACAUAAGACAUUGAAAGUUUGAUUAGUAAUGGCAAGGUGAGUAGCAAUAGCAAGCAUAUUUUGCCCAGUAAUAUUUGUGACCCCAUGGUUUGUACUUCUUACAAAUACCAUAUUUAGCUCCAUAGUAGUGCUUGCAAUGAUAGCUACAUUUGUAAGAGUAUUGACAAGGUCCAUUCCACUUGUCACUCUUUUUCCAACAGUAUUUUCCUUCUGCCAUUU